CCUACGGGAGGCAGCAGUGGGGAAUAUUGCACAAUGGGGGAAACUCUGAUGCAGCGACGCCGCGUGCGUGAAGAAGUAAUUAGUUACGUAAAGCUCUAUCUGCACGGGGGAAAAUGACGGUACCUGAGUCAGAAGCCCCGUCUAACUACGUGCCAGAAGCCGCGGUAAUACGUAGGGGGCCAGCGUUAUCCGGAUUUACUGGGGGUAAAGGGAGCGUAGUCGGUGCGCCAAGUCUGGAGUGAAAUGCCGCAGCUUAACUGCGGAACUGCUUUGGAAACUGGCGAACUAGAGUGCGGGAGGGGUAGGCGGAAUUCGUAGUGUAGCGGUGAAAUGCGUAGAUAUUAGGAGGAACACCGGUUGCGAAGGCAGCUUACUGUAGCGUAACUGACGUUGAGGCUCGAAAGCGUGGGGAGCGAACAGGAUUAGAUACCCCAGUAGUC
rnacentral:rRNA from 1 species